GGGCAUGUGGCUCGGUGGGUAGAGCAUUUGCCUGGCAUGCAUUAAGCCCUGGGUUUGAUUCUCAGCACCCCA
rnacentral:tRNA from 1 species